GACGAACGCUGGCGGCGUGCCUAAUACAUGCAAGUAGAACGCUGAAGGAGGAGCUUGCUUCUCGGGAUGAGUUGCGAACGGGUGAGUAACGCGUAGGUAACCUGCCUGGUAGCGGGGGAUAACUAUUGGAAACGAUAGCUAAUACCGCAUAAUAGUAGAUGUUGCAUGACAUUUGCUUAAAAGUUGCACUUGCAUCACUACCAGAUGGACCUGCGUUGUAUUAGCUAGUUGGUGGGGUAACGGCUCACCAAGGCGACGAUACAUAGCCGACCGGGGAGGGGGGUCGGCCAGCCUGGGAGGGAGACCCGGCCCAGAGGGCUACGGGAGGCAGCAGUAGGGAAUCUUCGGGAAUGGACGGAAGUCUGACCGAGAAACGCCGAGGGAGUGAAGAAGGAUGUCGGAUCGUAAAGCUCGGUUGUAAGGGAAGAACGAGUGUGAGAGUGGAAAGUUCACACUGUGACGGUAACUGACCAGAAAGGGACGGCUAACUACGUG
rnacentral:rRNA from 1 species